GGCAUUGUAGCAUAGUGGUAAGGUGCAGGCUCGUAACUGAAAGGUUGCUGGUUCGAUUCCAUGCAGGGGCA